UCAACAAUGGUGUGACCUGGCUUCCUC
rnacentral:piRNA from 1 species